UACGGGGGGGGCAAGCGUUGUUCGGAAUUACUGGGCGUAAAGGGCGCGUAGGCGGUUUGCUAAGUUGAAUGUGAAAACUCUGGGCUUAACCCAGAGCCUGCAUUCAAUACUGGCAGGCUAGAGUUCUGGAGGGGAUAGCGGAAUUCCUGGUGUAGCGGUGAAAUGCGUAGAUAUUGGGAAGAACACCGGAGGCGAAGGCGGGUUGCUGGGCCGACACUGACGCUGAGGCGCGAAAGCCAGGGGAGCAAACGGG
rnacentral:rRNA from 1 species